AAACCAUGUUGUGGGAAUAAAUUGACAAGAUCCCUGAAACGCUUCCAACAUUGGAAGAAUGUUCCAUCUUCCUUUUGGGCGAAAUUCUAGAUUGAUUUUCUAAGGGU